UACGUAGGGUGCAAGCGUUGUCCGGAAUUAUUGGGCCUAAAGCGUCCGUAGCUGGCGUGUUAGAUGCCUGGGUAAAUCGAUGCGCUCAACGCAUCGAAUUCCGGGUAGACCGGCACGCUCGAGACCGGGAGAGGCGUAGGGUACUCGGGGGGUAGGGGUAAAAUCCUGUAAUCCUCCGGGGACGACCAGUGGCGAAGGCGCUACGCUAGAACGGCUCUGACAGUGAGGGACGAAGCCCUGGGGCGCAAACCGG
rnacentral:rRNA from 1 species